GAUAAGAACGUAGCGAAAUGCGAUACGUAAUGUGAAUUGCAGAAUUCAGUGAAUCAUCGAGUCUUUGAACGCACAUUGCGCCCCCUGGUAUUCCGGGGGGCAUGCCUGUCCGAGCGUCAUUGCUGCCCUCAAGCACGGCUUGUGUGUUGGGCCUCCGUCCUCCUCCCGGGGGACGGGCCCGAAAGGCAGCGGCGGCACCGCGUCCGGUCCUCGAGCAUAUGGGGCUUCGUCACCCGCUCUUGUAGGCCCGGCCGGCGCUUGCCGACACAUCAAUCUUUUUUCCAGGUUGACCUCGGAUCAGGUAGGGAUACCCGCUGAACUUAAGCAUAUCAAUAAGCGGAGGA
rnacentral:misc_RNA from 1 species